AAUAGAUACCCAGGUAGUCCACGCCGUAAACGAUGAGUGCUAAGUGUUAGAGGGUUUCCGCCCUUUAGUGCUGAAGUUAACGCAUUAAGCACUCCGCCUGGGGAGUACGGUCGCAAGACUGAAACUCAAAGGAAUUGACGGGGGCCCGCACAAGCGGUGGAGCAUGUGGUUUAAUUCGAAGCAACGCGAAGAACCUUACCAGAUCUUGACAUCCUCUGACAACCCUAGAGAUAGGGCUUUCCCUUCGGGGACAGAGUGACAGGUGGUGCAUGGUUGUCGUCAGCUCGUGUCGUGAGAUGUUGGGUUAAGUCCCGCAACGAGCGCAACCCUUGAUCUUAGUUGCCAGCAUUUAGUUGGGCACUCUAAGGUGACUGCCGGUGACAAACCGGAGGAAGGUGGGGAUGACGUCAAAUCAUCAUGCCCCUUAUGACCUGGGCUACACACGUGCUACAAUGGACGGUACAAAGAGUCGCGAGACCGCGAGGUGGAGCUAAUCUCAUAAAACCGGUUCUCAGUUCGGAUUGUAGGCUGCUAAC
rnacentral:rRNA from 1 species